rnacentral:rRNA from 1 species
UAGGGAAUCUUCCGCAAUGGGCGAAAGCCUGACGGAGCAACGCCGCGUGAGUGAUGAAGGUCUUCGGAUCGUAAAACUCUGUUAUUAGGGAAGAACAAAUGUGUAAGUAACUAUGCACGUCUUGACGGUACCUAAUCAGAAAGCCACGGCUAACUACGUGCCAGCAGCCUCGGUAAUACGUAGGUGGCAAGCGUUAUCCGGAAUUAUUGGGCGUAAAGCGCGCGUAGGCGGUUUUUUAAGUCUGAUGUGAAAGCCCACGGCUCAACCGUGGAGGGUCAUUGGAAACUGGAAAACUUGAGUGCAGAAGAGGAAAGUGGAAUUCCAUGGGUAGCGGUGAAAUGCGCAGAGAUAUGGAGGAACACCAGUGGCGAAGGCGACUUUCUGGUCUGUAACUGACGCUGAUGUGCGAAAGCGGGGGGAUCAAAAAGG